GACAGAGGGUGCAAACGUUGCUCGGAAUCACUGGGCGUAAAGGGCGUGUAGGCGGGUAGAUAAGUCGGGCGUGAAAUCCCUAGGCUCAACCUAGGAACUGCACUCGAAACUGUUUAUCUUGAGUGCCGGAGAGGAAAGCGGAAUUCCUGGUGUAGAGGUGAAAUUCGUAGAUAUCAGGAGGAACACCAGUGGCGAAGGCGGCUUUCUGGACGGUAACU
rnacentral:rRNA from 1 species